GACAAUGACAGGUGACAGAUAAACAUUUCGCAAAGAGAAACGGUGAAAUUUUUGUUCUUUCAUUCUCGUCUUUCGAUCCGACCAGUUCGUAAUCGGCUGAUAUCUGAAAAAUCUUCUAGUUUUACUGAAACUAGAGUUUUCAGAACAGUUCCAAGAUGAGAGCGAAGUGGCGUAAGAAGCGUAUGCGUAGGCUAAAGCGUAAGAGGAGGAAGAUGCGUGCGAGAUCUAAGUAGACAGCCCCAUUUUCCCUAAAUGUAUUUUACUUCAUCUGACAUGUUCUUGGAAGGAGGGCGAAGAAGACCUAUUGGACAAAGUAAAAUCCAUUUUUUAUAAUAUAAGAAAAAUCCCACUUUGCUUGAAUGUUCAUGUGUUGUGGUUUCAAAAAAAAUAUAAAAUGUUAAAAAAAUAUGUUUGUUUUAUUUAAAAAAAAAAAAACACCUUAUAGGAAUUAGAUACAGGUAUGUAUGCUUUGUGGAAAGAAAAGAAUUUUGGAUAAAUUAAAUGAUUCUUGAGUUAUCCA